rnacentral:rRNA from 1 species
AUUGAACGCUGGCGGCAGGCCUAACACAUGCAAGUCGAGCGGAUGAAGGGAGCUUGCUCCUGGAUUCAGCGGCGGACGGGUGAGGAAUGCCUAGGAAUCUGCCUGGUAGUGGGGGAUAACGUCCGGAAACGGGCGCUAAUACCGCAUACGUCCUGAGGGAGAAAGUGGGGGAUCUUCGGACCUCACGCUAUCAGAUGAGCCUAGGUCGGAUUAGCUAGUUGGUGGGGUAAAGGCCUACCAAGGCGACGAUCCGUAACUGGUCUGAGAGGAUGAUCAGUCACACUGGAAAUGAGACACGGUCCAGACGCCUACGGGAGGCAGCAGUGGGGAAUAUUGGACAAUGGGCGAAAGCCUGAUCCAGCCAGGCCGCGUGUGUGAAGAAGGUCUUCGGAUUGUAAAGCACUUUAAGUUGGGAGGAAGGGCAGUAAGUUAAUACCUUGCUGUUUGGACGUUACCAACAGAAUAAGCACCGGCUAACUUCGG